rnacentral:rRNA from 1 species
UACGGAGGGAGCUAGCGUUGUUCGGAAUUACUGGGCGUAAAGCGCACGUAGGCGGCUUUGUAAGUUAGAGGUGAAAGCCCGGGGCUCAACCCCGGAAUUGCCUUUAAGACUGCAUCGCUUGAAUCGUGGAGAGGUGAGUGGAAUUCCGAGUGUAGAGGUGAAAUUCGUAGAUAUUCGGAAGAACACCAGUGGCGAAGGCGACUCACUGGACACGUAUUGACGCUGAGGUGGCGAAAGCGUGGGGAGCAAACAGG